AGGGCGCAGCUACACAUGCAGUCGAGCGAGACCUUCGGGUCUAGCGGCGGACGGGUUAGUAACGCGUGGGAACGUGCCCUUCUCUGCGGAAUAGCCACUGGAAACGGUGAGUAAUACCGCAUACGCCCUUCGGGGGAAAGAUUUAUCGGAGAAGGAUCGGCCCGCGUUAGAUUAGAUAGUUGGUGGGGUAAUGGCCUACCAAGUCUACGAUCUAUAGCUGGUUUUAGAGGAUGAUCAGCAACACUGGGACUGAGACACGGCCCAGACUCCUACGGGAGGCAGCAGUGGGGAAUCUUAGACAAUGGGCGCAAGCCUGAUCUAGCCAUGCCGCGUGUGUGAUGAAGGUCUUAGGAUCGUAAAGCACUUUCGCCAGGGAUGAUAAUGACAGUACCUGGUAAAGAAACCCCGGCUAACUCCGUGCCAGCAGCCGCGGUAAUACGGAGGGGGUUAGCGUUGUUCGGAAUUACUGGGCGUAAAGCGCGCGUAGGCGGAUUGGAAAGUUGGGGGUGAAAUCCCGGGGCUCAACCCCGGAACUGCCUCCAAAACUAUCAGUCUAGAGUUCGAGAGAGGUGAGUGGAAUUCCAAGUGUAGAGGUGAAAUUCGUAGAUAUUUGGAGGAACACCAGUGGCGAAGGCGGCUCACUGUCUCGAUACUGACGCUGAGGUGCGAAAGUGUGGGUAGCAACCAGGAUUAUAUACCCUGGUAGUCCACACCGUAAACGAUGAAUGCCACUCGUCCGGGAGUAUACUGCUCAGUGACACACAUUUCGGAUUUACCUUUGGGACUGGGGACAACUCUCUCAAAAUCAAAACUCAGA
rnacentral:rRNA from 1 species